UGAUGAUUCGGACUCCCUCCUACUCC
rnacentral:piRNA from 1 species